GGGUCAGUAGGUUGGUCGUGCCACCGGUACGUACUGGUCUCACUGAUUCCUCCUUCCUGAAGAACCGUAAUGCCAUUAAUUUGGUGUUGCGGGGAAACAGGACUGUUACUUCGAAAAAAUUAGAGUGUUUAAAGCAAGCUAACGCUUGAAUACAUUAGCAUGGAAUAAUGGAAUAGGACGAUCGAUCCUAUUUUGUUGGUUUCUAGGAUUGACGUA
rnacentral:rRNA from 1 species